GUGCUCAUUUUGGAAACACGUAUACUAAAAUAUGAACAAUACAGAGAAGAUUAGCAUUGUCUCUGUGUAAGGAUGACACACAAAUUCAUCAAUCUUCCCCAUUUUUA